rnacentral:rRNA from 1 species
GACAGAGGGUGCAAACGUUGUUCGGAAUUACUGGGCGUAAAGCGCGUGUAGGCGGCUAUGUAAGUCGGGCGUGAAAUCCCACGGCUCAACCGUGGAAGUGCACCCGAAACUGCGUGGCUAGAGUCCUGGAGAGGAAGGUGGAAUGCUUGGUGUAGAGGUGAAAUUCGUAGAUAUCAAGCGGAACACCGGUGGCGAAGGCGGCCUUCUGGACAGUGACUGACGCUGAGACGCGAAGGCGUGGGGAGCAAACAGG